GUUAUUAAUUCAGUUAAAAAUGUUAAACAGUUGUUAAUUAAUUAAAAUUAAAGGUAUAUAAAAAAUAUUAAAAAAUUCACAUAAAUUUAUUAAAAUAAAAAUAAAUUAAUAGCUAAAAAAGUAAAAAUUAACAUAAAUAACAAAUAAAAAAAUACUUAAAAAUUAAAAAAUAAAAAAUAAAUUAAUAAUUAAAAGAAAUUAAAAACUAAAAAUUAAAAAUAAAAAAACAUAAAAAUUAACUAAAAAUAUUUGAAAAUAAUUAUAAAUAAAAAAAUAUGAAUUUUUGUAAGUUGAAAAUUACUAAUUCAGUCAAAAAUGUGAAACAGUUGUUAAUUAAUUAAAAUUAAAUGUAUAUAAAAAAGUUAAAAAUAUUAAAAAAAAUUAAUUAAAUUUAAUAGUCAUAAAUUCACAUAAAUUUAUAAAAAGUAAAAUAAUAAAAAUAAAUUAAUAGCUAAAAAAGUAAAAAUUAAAAUAAAUAACAAUUAAAAAAUACUUAAAAAUUAAAAAAUAAAAAUAAAAAUUAAUAAUUAAAGAAAUUAAAAACUAAAAAUUAAAAAUAAAAAAAAAAUAAAAAUUAACUAAAAAUAUUUGAAAAUAAUUAUAUAUAAAAAAUUUGAAUUUUUAUAAGUUAAAAAUUAUUAAUUCAUAUCGCAUUGCUUAAUUGCAUACAAAUACGUGAUUAACUAGUUAUGAGAUUCAAAAUCAAUAUUAUCCAAAUCGAAUACUAAUUAACUGCUAUACAAGCCACAAAGUAUGAGCAAUUUAUGUAAUAAAACACACACUACAAUAUAUUCACACAUAAGUAUACACUCAUACACACUCAUAGAUAACUCGUUAGCUGCCGUCAUUCGUGAACAAUUUUGUUUUUAAUUACAAAACAAUGCAUUUCACAGCAGUCGCCCCGAGUAGUGAGCUCAUCUUCUCCGCAUUUUUUCCGCACAAUAAAUAAUAAUUUCUAAUUGCAAAAAUGCACACAGCUUUCAGUUCAGUUCAGCUACCCGCAAAGGCAUUUAUGCCGCCGCGCUCACACUGCUUUCAAAUCAUUUAACUCAAUCAUGUGCUUUCCGCCUUGUCACGGCUGUGUGUCAAGUGCUUAGUAAUAAUUACCCCAAUCGGCGAGCAACAAAAACAACAACAACUACUUAAGCAACUGUGUAAACAAGCCGAAACCCCCCUUGCAACCGUGCAGCAAAUUGAUGAUCAAACACGCACACACUUGACCACAAAGUGGGAGGGUGGCAUCACUGGCAGUCACAUGUGUGUGUGCUUGUUUUGGUGUUUAUUUGGGUGUGUGUGUGUGACACCAGUGAAGGGUGUUUUCCCAUUUCACCGCGCAUAUAUGCCAAUGUUAUGUGCCCGUUAUGGCUGCAACUGGCUUAAGUGUUCAUAUAUGAGAUGUGAUAGGCAGAGAUAUGUGUGUGCAGUCAUGCAUGGAGGUAUGUGUGUCAGUAUAGAGGCUCAAAUAGGCUAAUAUGCCGUUUGGCAACAAACCAAAUCGUCUCUGUGCCUUACUGCUGUUCACCAGCUACCAAUAUUUUGCUCAUCAACAUUUGGCUGCUGCAUUGUUGAGCUUCUUUCUUCAAACACUCGAGUUAUUGUUCUGUGUAUUGAUCUGAUUCUGUGCAUUGAUAGUGAUUUUGGCAAAAUUGCAUGGUGUAAUAACACUAAAUAACAGUCAUAUAACGGCUUAAGUGUCAUUGAGUGGAAAAGUGGCUCCUUUGGUAUCCCACCAACUUUUUCUUGUUCCAACUUCAUCGAGCUUUGCACGAAAUUUUAAAAUCUUUUUUAUUUUCUUCAAACUCUGAAACACUGAAAAUGUUUUUGCUCCUUUUCUGGUGUCACUUAUGUAUAUAAUAUCCCUCGCAUAUUUUUAAUUAAAUUUCCGUUUUAUCAAAUUUCUACCACAAAACGCUGUAGGUUGGUGAAGAAAAUCAAUUUCCUAUAAUUCAUGCCGCAACAAAGCGCUCUUUUGGUUAUCAUUAUAUAGUCUUUCUUCUGCCGCCUCUCCCCCACACAUUUUCGAACUAUUAUGCCAGCUUUGGGCAAUAAAUAUGGCAUUAAAGCCGCUUGAAUGGCGCCAUGACAAGCCACAUUGCUGUUCGCCGCUGGCGAAAAGUAUUUUUGUGCGCCGGAGUUCUUUAUGAAUUCGCCUUCAUCCACACCCACAAUCUCUGCGCUGCUUAAGCAAUUUAAGCUGCAACGAAUAAGGAAAUGUGUAUGAAAGAUAAUUGAUUGGAAAAAUGGCCUCGAAACGGGCGUCGCCCCAUGAGUUUCAUUAAAGCUUUAUUUUCGCCAGUUGCAUAAUGUUGCUGAUUUCGUAACGUAAUUUAAAUUAUGGUAAAAUUAAACGCAAAAAAUGCUGAUAUUUUCGAUUUUCAUUAAAAUUACUUGAAAAGAAUUAAUAAUGAAAAUAGAAAUUUCCUAAUUUAUUUUAAAUUUUACCAAACAGCAUACAUUAAAUUCACACAAACUAUACUCAAUCGCUUUAUAAAUACUUUUCUAAAUAUAAAAGUGACUGAACUUAUGUUAUUUAGACACACUUUCCCUCAAACCGCCCCUGAACUAAGUCAUUUAGUAAAUUUACAGCACCUAUAAGUAAUGGUCUCAAUUAAGGUACUUUCAAUUGAGUCAAUUAGUAACUUUUUCAACAUUUAUACUUAAUUGACUCAGUUGAGAUGCUGCCGCAUUGAGUUUAUUAGUAAAUUUUCAACACUUAUAACUGAUUGACUCAUGUAAUAGCCUAUUUAGACAGCCAAAUUAAUUGAACAAUUAAAACUUUGAUUGAGAAACCCUUUUUGCCUUUAACACUGCCGGCUACUCGUUAACCGAUCAGCUGUUAUACAUUUUUGUUUUUCCUUUUCAUAAAAAGUUGGUAAGAUUCAUCAGCUAAUUGAUAUUUUUAGCGACAUCUACCGUAGCUUUUUUAUAAAAAAAAUAAACCAAUCGCUGACAAAGAACGUAUAUCGUACGUCUUUGUCGCAGAGUUGCAUAUAAUUUUCAAAACGAUUAAAAUUCAAUUAAUAAUUAAUGUAGAUUUGUAUUUUGUAUGGUAAAUCGAUCUUAUUAAGCGUUUUAAUCGAGCAGAAGCCGAUUAAUUGAUCAAUUGGCUCCUGUGUAAGAAGGCUAUAAUGCAAAUUUUCAACACUUAUACUUAAUUGAGUCAAUUAAGAGGCUCUCAAUUGAGUCAAUUAGUGAAUACUUAACACUUAUGAAUGUGAAUGUUUAACACUUAUACAAAAUUGGCGCAGUUAAGGGACUAUCAAUUAGUAAAUAUUCAGCACUUUUACUUAAUUGACUCAAUUAAGCGGUAUUUCGGACACUUAAUUGAAUGAUUUUUUUUUUGUAUUAAAAUAAUUUUCGAAACCAUAAAUUUCACUAAAGAAUACCGCUGAAAUUCCAGCGGCGCACCACAUAAUUUCAUGCAAAUAUUUGCGUGUUUGAUUAAAAGCCCAAGUCAAUAUUUGCGCUGAAACAAUUGUCUGUUUGCAUAUUUAUGUUAAUGUAUUAACAAAUUGUUGUUGUAUGUUGUAUAUGUAUGUAUGUACAUAUGUAUUUAUGUAAAUUUUUUGCUGUUGAGCCGCAAACUUUUUUCAUUGUUUGUUAUUUGCCUUGCCAAAUUUGUACGUAUGUACAUCUCUCUCUAACUCUCUUCGGUUGUGGUGUCCUAUUUUGUAUUUAUAUUUAUAUCUAUCUCUCUGUAUUACAUAACCUUCAUUGUUACAUUCUUGUGCAAUAAAUAUUUAAUCUUGUUGGUUUUUGUGGCAUUUUAUUUGUGUGGCGUCACUUUGUCUUGUGAAUCCUGGCAGUUCUUGCGAAUAUCUUUAAGAGGACACAAGAAAUAAACUGUUGCCAUUUGUAGCUGGUGAUUUUUUCUCAGUUACAUACAUACAUGUAUGCUAUAUUUCCAUCUUUAUUUCGAUUAAAUUACGCUGAAGUAAUUUGUGGCCUUGUAAGCAGUUGGGGAAGCACAGAAGUUACUCAAGUAUAAAUUACUUGGCUGCCAUGUAUAUUGCUUUGUGGUAACAUUUGACCUAAAUUUUGUAUCUUUAAUUCUAUCACUGAGUUCUCUAUACAGCUUUAAUUGGUUUUAAAUUAUACUGGAAGCUGAAUCUCAAGAAAAGUGGAGAUUUCUUGUGUCUAUAAACAUACUUCUGCUUAGCUAUACUAAUUACUGUUAUCUAUAAAUAUUAGACCAUUAAGUUCGACUACUAAUAAAGCCGUAGCACUCCCGAGUACUUUCGCAAAAAUAUCAAGGUCCUUUAUAUAUUU